UAUAAACAUACAAGAUUUCAUGUAAACAUGACAGAUUUCAUUACAAAUACAUCAAAGCAGUCCUAGGCGGGCUCUAGAGUAUAAUUAAUACAUAAUCUAAAUGAUCGCCGGCGUCCAGUUCCCAUCUCCGGCCAUCAGCCCGGAGAACUGAAGCUUCACCAUCUUCAGUUCCGCCUCGGCGCUCUCCAGCUCCGCCUCCGUGACCUUCGCCUCCGGAGCCCCGGGAACUGAAGCUGUCUGCCUCGACGUCGCUACCAAGCGACUAAUCGGGCCGAAGAUGCCCAGCCCACCAAACUUGGCGUCGACGGGAUUGGAGGAGGCGUGGCCUUCCUGGGACUCUUCCUCGCUGCCGGCGACGCCAGCGGACGUGCCGGCUUAUUCGUGGUCGUGGUGCCGGAACACAGCCUCGGCGAUGUCCUCCUCGUCGGUGUCACCGAACAACGCCUCGCCCACGUCGUCAUCGCACUCGUUGCCGGCGGCCGCCACCUCCGCCAUCCACUGCCGGUACCAUCAGUGGGCGAAGCGGAUCUCGCCGACGGAGCGGUAGAACUCGAGCAACGCCUUCCAUGUCCGCCUCUUGCAGAGGAUCCCGCUUCGGCGCUUCCCUACUAGAACCUACUUUACUGACAUCCGACAUAAGGCUAUCCAUUGGCGACUCCCCUGCUUCCCUGGAGCAAGAUCCGGUGGUGGCCCAUCUCCCUAUCGCUCGUCGUCGUCGUCGGCGGCCAGUCCAGAUACGGUGCUUCCCUGGAGCCCACUGCAGUUGCUCCAUGCCUCCCCCUCCCCCUCCAACUUCCAGGUCACCUCGCUUCGCCUCCCAGGCAUCCCCGACGUCGCGCUGCACACCAUUGACCCUGGACCCCGCCGCCGCCACCAUGGUCUCCUCCUCCCCGGCGGCUGCCGGUGUCCCAACGGCGCAGCUGCUCAGGAGCCACCAUAUGGCCUUCUCCGUGCCAGUCUCCAACCCGGACGGUGACUGAAAUUCAGCUAUCUGAAUUUUGGUGUAGAAUGCACUUUCUGCUCUGGGCUUGAUGGAUAGUUCAGAGCUGGAUAUAGAAAGGAUCUUUGUUAAGCUACACUUUCGCAAUCUAAUCAUUUGGUUUGGUGUCUAGAAAAGAAAAUCCAGGCUUGGAGUUGAAAGUGGUCCUAAUUAACCUAUGUAGGUUCGAGAAGGCAUUGAUUCUUUACAUGAAUGUGCUUCCUGUUAUGCAGUGGAAAAUAAUGCCGUGUCGCCAGCUCGUUCAUGACAACCAUCUAUUCAGAUUUGCUCCUAUCUAAUUAUGCAAGAAACUUAUUUAUAUCUUACAAUA